rnacentral:rRNA from 1 species
CCUACGGGUGGCAGCAGUGGGGAAUAUUGCACAAUGGGCGCAAGCCUGAUGCAGCCAUGCCGCGUGUGUGAAGAAGGCCUUCGGGUUGUAAAGCACUUUCAGCGGGGAGGAAGGCGGUGAGGUUAAUAACCUCAUCGAUUGACGUUACCCGCAGAAGAAGCACCGGCUAACUCCGUGCCAGCAGCCGCGGUAAUACGGAGGGUGCAAGCGUUAAUCGGAAUUACUGGGCGUAAAGCGCACGCAGGCGGUCUGUCAAGUCGGAUGUGAAAUCCCCGGGCUCAACCUGGGAACUGCAUUCGAAACUGGCAGGCUAGAGUCUUGUAGAGGGGGGUAGAAUUCCAGGUGUAGCGGUGAAAUGCGUAGAGAUCUGGAGGAAUACCGGUGGCGAAGGCGGCCCCCUGGACAAAGACUGACGCUCAGGUGCGAAAGCGUGGGGAGCAAACAGAAUUAGAUACCCUAGUAGUC